UACGGAGGAUGCGAGCGUUAUCCGGAUUCAUUGGGUUUAAAGGGUGCGCAGGCGGACUGAUAAGUCAGUGGUGAAAUCCCAUAGCUCAACUAUGGAACUGCCAUUGAUACUGUCAGACUAGAGUAUAUUUGACGUAGGCGGAAUGCGACAUGUAGCGGUGAAAUGCUUAGAUAUGUCGCAGAACACCGAUUGCGAAGGCAGCUUACGAAACUAUAACUGACGCUCAUGCACGAAAGCGUGGGGAUCAAAC
rnacentral:rRNA from 1 species